rnacentral:rRNA from 1 species
GACGAACGCUGGCGGCGUGCUUAACACAUGCAAGUCGAACGGAAAGGCCCUGCUUUUGUGGGGUGCUCGAGUGGCGAACGGGUGAGUAACACGUGAGUAACCUGCCCUUGACUUUGGGAUAACUUCAGGAAACUGGGGCUAAUACCGGAUAGGAGCUCCUGCUGCAUGGUGGGGGUUGGAAAGUUUCGGCGGUUGGGGAUGGACUCGCGGCUUAUCAGCUUGUUGGUGGGGUAGUGGCUUACCAAGGCUUUGACGGGUAGCCGGCCUGGGAGGGUGACCGGCGACAUUGGGACUGAGGUACGGCCCAGACUCCUACGGGAGGCAGCAGUGGGGAAUAUUGCACAAUGGGCGGAAGCCUGAUGCAGCAACGCCGCGUGCGGGAUGACGGCCUUCGGGUUGUAAACCGCUUUCGCCUGUGACGAAGCGUGAGUGACGGUAAUAGGUAAAGAAGCACCGGCUAACUACGUG